UGUCAUUUUUCAAUCAGAUCAAUCCCUUAAUAGUUUUAAUUUGCAUGACUAAAAAACAUCUAGCAAAAUAAAAAACUUCUCUGUAGCAGUUAUUUUCUAGAGAAAAGAGCGAAGGGGAAAAGCGUGGUUUGUUGCAGAGAAUUUUGCUUUCCUCCUCCCAUGGUGCUGUGUGUUUUUGCUUUCAGUAAAUUAGUUUUCCUCUCUUCGGGCGUCGUGGGCACCUCCGAGGAUGUAGUUUUUUUCUCAUCGUGAUUUGGGAUGGAGAAGUUGUUUUAAUGUUUUGUCUGAGGUUUUUCUUCAUGUUCGGUGAAAUCAGAUGUUGAAUUUGUGAAAUCCGAUGUUGUAUCAGAGCCGAUCGGUGAAUCAGAGGUUGUGGUUGUAGAAUCAGAGUAUUAUAUGAUGUGGCUGUCCAAGUCCUCUCCAUGGUUGCUGAGUUCACCCACACCGAACCCAGAUGAGCGAGGUUUCCAAGGGAUCAGGCGGCUAGCUUGGGUGAUCUCCGGGUUUGCAGGAAUUCCAAGGAUCUUGUAGCGACGACGGCAACGGCAUUCUGAUGGGCCGGUGGUUUGGUUAACAAGCGGUUUCUUCCUUCGGUAACUACUCUUUUGCACAAUGAGGUGCUAAAACCGCCCGACAUAUCUGGUAAUGGGUCUAUAAUGGGUGCUCCGAAAACGCCGAGAAAUACGGGGAUGUGGGGGAAUGAUUUUUGGCCCCUUCCUUGGUUUUCGCCAGCCAAUGAAGUUAAAGCUGUUCUGUUUAUUUGUUUUUGUCUAUUGUAAUAGUCUACUUUGGCAGUCUGCGUUAUUUUUUAAGAUCAAAACAUGGUCAGUAAAAGCUAGUGUAUAGCACAGAAUGUAUGACCCCUCCUCGAUCUUGUAGAGACUUAUGUAUACGUGGAGACAUCUUCUGUUGGCUAGGUUAUUUUGUAGUAGUUGUGGUAUGUUAUGGUGGUCUAAGUUUGACCUUGCCUGGGUGGAGGACACUUUAACCCUGUGCCUCUGACUUAGUUUAUUAUGGAUUCUUUGUAAUCCUGGACAUUAGACAGAUUUGGUCU